AAUUGCCAUUGAUACUGUGAGUCUUGAGUAUGGUUGAGGUAGGCGGAAUGUGCAGUGUAGCGGUGAAAUGCAUAGAUAUUGCACAGAACUCCGAUUGCGAAGGCAGCUUACUAAGCCAUUACUGACGCUGAGGCACGAAAGCGUGGGGAGCGAACAGGAUUAGAUACCCUGGUAGUCCACGCCGUAAACGAUGUUCACUCGCUGUUUGCGAUACACAGCAAGCGGCUGAGCGAAAGCAUUAAGUGAACCACCUGGGGAGUACGAUCGCAAGGUUGAAACUCAAAGGAAUUGACGGGGGCCCGCACAAGCGGAGGAACAUGUGGUUUAAUUCGAUGAUACGCGAGGAACCUUACCUGGGCUUAAAUGUAGAGUGCAUGAGGUAGAAAUACUUCUUCCCUUCGGGGCUCUUUGCAAGGUGCUGCAUGGUUGUCGUCAGCUCGUGCCGUGAGGUGUCGGGUUAAGUCCCAUAACGAGCGCAACCCUUAUCGUUAGUUGCCAGCGGGUAAUGCCGGGGACUCUAGCGAAACUGCCGGUGUAAACCGAGAGGAAGGUGGGGGAUGACGUCAAAUCAGCACGGCCCUUAUGUCCAGGGCUACACACGUGUUACAAUGGCCGGUACAGAGGGCAGCUACCUUGGAGACAGGAUGCGAAUUCUCGAAGGCCGGUCCUCAGUUCGGAUCGGGAGUUCUGCAACUCGA
rnacentral:rRNA from 1 species